CUUUGCGUUACACUGUGUGACCAGCUGAAAGAAAAUAAGCAGGAACUGGUUGGAUGUGGUUUCACAGCCUUCAAAAAGAAGAGGAAAGUUUUUCCUUGGCAGUUUCUAGAAAAAUACCAUCACUGGAAGAACAAACUAGAUGAGUCUGAGACACCAAGUUUAGAUCCGGAUCUAGAUCUAAAACUAUUCAAAUCUCAGAAGCGUUUGGAGUCAGCAUUUUGGUUCGAGCUCCUUAUAGAGCGGGGGGUCAGCAGCAUAGUUCAAACUAGGAGUGUGGAGACUGGACGUGGGAGACACCGGCUCGAAGUAGGCACCCUGCUGAUGAAAGGACUAAUUCCCCGGAGCUACCAGCACGAGGCGCCGCAGCAGUGAAUCCGGCUCCAUGACAAGGGGAUGGGGAACGAAGAUAUUGACAUGGCCAAGGUCACACAGGAAAUCGGUGGCGGAGCAGGGAAUUGUACCUGUGUCUUCCAAGACCCAAAUAGGCACCUUAAUCACUGGGCCAUUCCCCCUCUCAGAGGAUAUCUCCAAAGGACGCUGAAAGUAACACCGACUGUCCACGUGGCUCUCUCCUUUGGAGCAGUUUGAAAGGUGACAGACAUACCCAUGCCGGCUUCAGCAUAUUUGGGAAGAUAAAGAGAUCCCAAGGAUCAUCAAUAAAACACUUGGAUCCACCACGAAUCUCCCGUAAUUCACUUUUUCAGAGAUUAGCAUAUGGAGUUCUGGCAGUCAUUUGAUCUUAAUUAUUCAGUUGCAUUGUCUUACGCAGACUGCUACAUUUGUAUACUAAAUUUGCAAUAUCUAACACCAAAGAGUCAAUAUUCUUCCUGUAAAAAAGCGUGGAUGAAACCCUGACCUCAUUGAAUUCAAUGGCAAAACUCAUACAGACUGCAACAAGACUAGAAUUGUAAUCGUUAAUUGCUGUCCCUCUCCAGUUACAAUUAUUUUUAAACAACCUGGCUUUUCCCACUCAUGCGCUCACCCUCUUAGGAGAGAGGGCACUGUACAAUUUAAGUACUGUAUUUACUGCAAGUUCUU